AUGGAGGUAUUUUUAAGAUUUUGGCAUACACUUAAAACCUUUUAGUAAGACAUUUUUA
rnacentral:tRNA from 1 species